rnacentral:tRNA from 1 species
GUGGAUGGAGCUUGGUGGUAGAGUGCUUGCCUGGCACGCAGAAGUCCUGGGAUCGAUCCCCAGCACCCAUA